rnacentral:rRNA from 1 species
GUUUCUUAAGUUUGACGUGAAAGCUCCCGGCUUAACUGAGAGAGGUCGUUGAAAACUGGGAGACUUGAGGCAAUGAGAGGGGUGUAGAAUUCCAGGUGUAGUGGUGGAAUGCGUAGAUAUCUGGAGGAAUACCAGUGGCGAAAGCGGCACCCUAGCGUUGUUCUGACGCUCAUGUGCGAAAGUGUGGGGAGCGAACGGGAUUAGAUACUCCGGUAGUCCACGCCGUAAACGAUGACCACUAGGUGUAGGUGAUGUGAAAGUUAUCUGUACCGAAGCCAACGCGUUAAGUGUUCCGCCUGGGGAGUACGGCCGCAAGGCUAAAACUCAAAGGAAUUGACGGGGGCCCGCACAAGCAGCGGAGCGUGUGGUUUAAUUCGAUGCUACACGAAGAACCUUACCCAGGCUUGACAUACAGGUGGUAGGGAUCCGAAAGGUGACCGACCCGCAAGGGAGCCUGUACAGGUGUUGCAUGGCUGUCGUUAGCUCGUGUCGUGAGAUGUUCGGUUAAGUCCGCUAACGAGCGCAACCCUCGCUGCGUGUUACAAGU